rnacentral:tRNA from 1 species
AAAAAAUUAGUUAACCCAAAAAAUAACAUUAGAUUGUCAAACUAAAAUCGUCAUAAUAGACAUUUUUUA